UCAGGCCUAACACAUGCAAGUCGAGCGCGCCCUUCGGGGUGAGCGGCGGACGGGUUAGUAACGCGUGGGAAUAUACCCUUUGGUACGGAAUAGCCUCUGGAAACGGAGAGUAAUACCGUAUGUGCCCUUCGGGGGAAAGAUUUAUCGCCAAAGGAUUAGCCCGCGUUAGAUUAGGUAGUUGGUGGGGUAAUGGCCUACCAAGCCUACGAUCUAUAGCUGGUUUUAGAGGAUGAUCAGCAACACUGGGACUGAGACACGGCCCAGACUCCUACGGGAGGCAGCAGUGGGGAAUCUUGGACAAUGGGGGCAACCCUGAUCCAGCCAUGCCGCGUGAGUGAUGAAGGCCUUAGGGUCGUAAAGCUCUUUCGCCUGUGAAGAUAACGACGGUAGCAGGUAAAGAAACCCCGGCUAACUCCGUGCCAGCAGCCGCGGUAAUACGGAGGGGGUUAGCGUUGUUCGGAAUUACUGGGCGUAAAGCGCACGUAGGCGGAUCGGAAAGUUGGGGGUGAAAUCCCGGGGCUCAACCCCGGAACUGCCUCCAAAACUAUCGGUCUAGAGUUCGAGAGAGGUGAGUGGAAUUCCGAGUGUAGAGGUGAAAUUCGUAGAUAUUCGGAGGAACACCAGUGGCGAAGGCGGCUCACUGGCUCGAUACUGACGCUGAGGUGCGAAAGUGUGGGGAGCAAACAGGAUUAGAUACCCU
rnacentral:rRNA from 1 species